rnacentral:rRNA from 1 species
CCUACGGGAGGCAGCAGUGAGGAAUAUUGGUCAAUGGACGGAAGUCUGAACCAGCCAUGCCGCGUGCAGGAAGACGGCUCUAUGAGUUGUAAACUGCUUUUGUACAAGGGUAAACCUGAAUACGUGUAUUCAGCUGAAAGUACUGUACGAAUAAGGAUCGGCUAACUCCGUGCCAGCAGCCGCGGUAAUACGGAGGAUCCAAGCGUUAUCCGGAUUUAUUGGGUUUAAAGGGUGCGUAGGCGGAUUGAUAAGUUAGAGGUGAAAUGUCCGAGCUUAACUCGGGAACUGCCUCUAAUACUGUUGGUCUAGAGAGUAGAUGCGGUAGGCGGAAUGUAUGGUGUAGCGGUGAAAUGCUUAGAGAUCACACAGAACACCGAUUGCGAAGGCAGCUUACCAAUCUAUAUCUGACGUUGAGGCACGAAAGCGUGGGGAGCAAACAGGAUUAGAUACCCGAGUAGUC